AGACCUAUACAAUUUUUUUCCUUUUGAUUUUUUUACCUGGAUCACUGAGAUGCAUCAGGACGUAUUGCAGUAUAUAAUAUCUGAAAUAUCUUCUUGAUGUGAGCAGAGAAGAGGUUGGACCAGUAUCCACCAAAACUUUCACAAYAUAAUUCUAAAAUACUGCUCCAGUGUACUAGAAAAAUUGGUUUUAUUAACUUCAGAUACGUUACAUUGUAAACAACUAGUUGUAAUCAAAAGGCAUACCAGUCUGUUUCCCUGCUGAGUCUUCCUCUGCUGCUUCCUGCCUCUCCUUCUGGCGCUGACGUCACAACAUGGCGUCUGUUUAAUUUAACUCCUCAGCAGAGAUGUUUAAAGCAUUGGGUAUUUACACAAAAAUAAGCCCACUUGACUUAUAACCACACAGAACCAUCUAUUUUAACGUUGUUCAAUUUUAAUCCAAAAUUACAUAAAAUUAAACCGUGUCAUCAGCUCUUUAAAUUAUUAAUUUACGUUGGGUUGAGUUGAUGAGUUGAUUUCUCCUCUUCCUUCAAAACACACCUCUAAGGACCACUGUGCUCCUGGUUCGGCCCGGGGGCCAAAUCGACGCUGAAAAAAGAAGCUUUUUGCUAAGCAGGAACACGGUAAAAGCUGCCCWACCCAGUCCAGUGGACAGCCCAUUCCACAACCUGAGGCCCGGUGACUUCAUCCUUGUGAAAAACUUCAAACAAGCGUCCUGGAAAGCGAGUCACUGGCUAGGACCCUUCCAGGUGCUUUUGACYACCCAUUUAUUGGUUAAAAUUGCUGAGCGUGCAACCUGGAUCCACAUCAGCCACUGCAGGAAGGUCCUGCAUGUGUCUGAGUAGCUACCAAAAUGGAGCUGCUCCUCCCCUGAGCACGAGGUUACAGCUAAACCUAGGCUUUUGUUUGAUWACUAUCCCCCUGUUUUUGCUGAGUACACGGCUCUCACUUGCUCUGGCAGGUCCCGAAUGUCACCCGUCCCUUCCACACGUUCGUAUUUUUUUUUUAUGUUUUUUAUUUUCUGCUUUUGUUUAUUAUUUUUAUGAUUUCUUAGAGUUUUGUCCUUCUGUACAGCUUCCUGGUAAAGUUAGGUGAUUGUCACGCUGAAUCUCUUUCAGAGGUUCCUCCAACGGCAGCCAUUUUUAAAAUUUAUUUGUUCUUUUCCAGUUUUGUGGUAAUUCUGGGGAGGGGGUGUUCUCUGCAACUCCGAGCUCAGCACGCCACGAAAACAUAGAUCAGGUAAAGGUUCCUGUUUCCUGUUUGGGUUUAUUGUAGGUCCAUGGAAGCUGAAAAGUAAAA